CAAAAUUUGGAACAUAAAGCGUGUCCAUUAGAAACAAAUUAGGUCCUAUCUUGACAUAACCAGUCUGGUCACCAUAAACACAUUGCUCAUCGGCUACUCUAACUGGGAUACAAUCGGUCAAUCGGAACAAAAUUAAUCAACAGUUACGUGUACAGUCGCCCUAGUGUCUAGAAUCCAACUCGAGCUGUUCCGAUGGGAAAAAGAAAUCAUACCAGCAAAGUUGGAUGUGUUCUCUGCAGGAUUGAGAAGUGCAAGCAGCUUCUGAACCUGUUUGAAUGAGUCAGCACCGCCGCCUCCUUGUGCGAAGACUCUCCUGCAUCUGCAUCAUGAGCUGAUAAAGCAACGUGACGCUGUGCACCCUGCUUUAGUCCCGAAGAUUGCUGGACGUGCGAAUAAUUCUGCCAUUUCCCGCUGGAUUGAUUCUGCUUCACUCCUCCAUCCGAGCCAACCCCAUCUCGUGCAAAAGCUGCCUUCCUCUGUUGUUCCCAGUCGACUGGAUAGCCUAUUAACUGGAAGCAAUCUGACUUUUCUGGUGGCUUGGUUUGCCUCAGUGUCGCAAAGGCAGCAGCUUCCACAGCACGUCCACUUGUCCUCAUCUUUUGAAGUUCCUCCGGUAUAACCAUGGAGUAUACUCGAGCCAAUGGUGGAACUGGGUCAAAAGUUAAUACCUCGGAUCACAGGGUCCCGAAGGUUUUGCUAUUCAAGCCCAGGAUAAACUGAUGAACCUUCUCGAUUUCCUUCUCCGGCGCAUAUUCCUGUGCAGCAAAGCAUGUGCAUCGUGGAACAUUCAACUAGUCGUCGAGUUCAUCCCACAAAGCUUUCAUCCUGGUAUAAUACUCCGCAACGGUGAGGCCUUCUUGCCGUAGAGUACUCAGACUUCCAUCUAGUGAAUUAAAGAUCCACGCAAUCAGUAUGGAAUCGCACACCUCCCAUGCUCCGCUCAGGGACGUGCCUUCUUUUGACUUAGGGGUACUCCCAUCGAUGAAGCUGAUCUUAUUCUUCGCUCACGGGGCAUUCAGCAUUGCCUUUGACCAUGUCGGAUAAUUUGUUCCAGUGAGGCAGCAAGUCAUCCAGACAUGUGUCCGGGCUAUCCGAGCUGCUGAGGUAGCAAAGUGAAGUAACGUCUGUUGGCUUGACAUCUCACAUGGCAGCACAGAGGCUAGGAGCUUAACUGGGAAAAUAUACUGAUCAUUCUAAGUCUUCCUCCUCAAUACAAAUUAUUUUCUUUCCUCCACUUCCUUUUCCCUUUGUACUCCAAUUCGUACAUAUUGAACAACCUCCGAUAAUGUCGAGAUUUGGGGCCGGUGUAAUUGAAAUCGACUCAGGUCAUGAUCCAGCUUGAGCGAGGAUCCUCUGCUUGGUAUUGUAUGAUUCCUCUUUGGGAAUUGCUUCUCUACUUGAAGUUUGCUCAUGUGACAAAAGAGUUUA